rnacentral:tRNA from 1 species
GGAGCUGUGGUGCAGCUGGAGUGCAUGCCGGCCUGUCAAGCCGGAGGUCGCGGGUUCAAGUCCCGUCAGCUCCGCCA